rnacentral:tRNA from 1 species
GGAGGGGUGUCCGAGCGGCUUAUGGUGACGGUCUUGAAAACCGUUGUCCUUCAACAGGAGGACCGUGGGUUCGAAUCCCACCCCCUCCGCCA